rnacentral:rRNA from 1 species
UACGGAGGGUGCGAGCGUUAAUCGGAAUUACUGGGCGUAAAGCGCGCGUAGGCGGUCUGAUCAGCCGGUUGUGAAAGCCCCGGGCUCAACCUGGGAACGGCAUCGGGAACUGUCAGGCUAGAGUGCAGGAGAGGAAGGUAGAAUUCCCGGUGUAGCGGUGAAAUGCGUAGAGAUCGGGAGGAAUACCAGUGGCGAAGGCGGCCUUCUGGACUGACACUGACGCUGAGGUGCGAAAGCGUGGGUAGCAAACAGGAUUAGAUACCCCGGUAGUCCCU